rnacentral:lncRNA from 1 species
GGAAAUCUUUUCCUGUAGAGGACUCUUGCACUUAUCAGGGGCUUAACUGGUGAGGAAGGGGGUACUAAAGAGGCCCUCCCCAGUAUAUCCUUUGGUCUCCUUUGUGCUUCCCUCUCCUGCCUCCUACCUCCUGCCUCACCAGCCCAAAGGCUCUGCCCUGGACUUCCCUUGGUCCCAGUUUUAUUCUUAUGUUUUCUGACCACCUCUUGCCAGCAUCCAAACGCUCUCUGCUCUGCGUGCUGCCCCACACCCCAUCUCCUUUCUAAAUCUCGAUCUGGUUUCUCUUUCGGAAACAUGUUUCAGUACAAAGCGCUUCCCUUCUGACACCACUGAAGAAAAAUAUGUGUCCAUUGUUGUGAGAGGCCUUAUUGUGUCUGGAUUACCAUACUGACCGUUGGCUAACCCAUAUUCCUCCCCUCCCCAGUAACAAGAUGCCGGCUGAGGUACCCCAGCGGCUCCACAGAUUCUGUACUGCAGUAAAACCCCACCUUAUGCUCCCUGGAUUUUCUGAGGGACAAAAAAAUAAAAUAAAAUAUAAAAUAAUUCAGGAUUUAGACGGU